rnacentral:lncRNA from 1 species
UCUUUAAUGCAAAACCAUUGAGCGGUAUUUCACUUUGCCAACUAUGGACUAUGUCAAUUGUGCCAAGUGUGCCAACUGGGCACCUAUUUUACGGCAUUGCACUUUGAAAUCCAGCAUCUUCUUCAUUUUCUUAGAGGAGAGCUUCAUGUUCAUGGUAACCUAAAAUCCACCUGUAAAUUUCAAACAUAUGUUACCAAACAAGCAACUAUUUAGUAUAGAUGCGACAUAUGGGCUGUCAGCAAUAAAGUAAGGAAAUAAACAGGUGUGUGAUGUGUCUAAUUAGAUAUAAGUUUAAAUCCUUAUAGGAUUAGCAUGUAAGUCCCUGUUUGGACUUUGGAUGCAAAGUAUUCUCUCUACUUGUUUGUAACUUGUAAUUUUUGUCGAUAUAACCCCUGUAAUUGGAUAUAAGUAUUUGUUUCACCAUGCAUAUGCUUUGUUUAUUAUAGUUGGACGACCAUCACCCAGCUAGCACACCAUAGAUUGCUUUUCGUCUAAAUUGGCUACACCUUUGGUCCAGGUAUGUUCAACAUGGAUGAUACCAGAGGAGACAACCCCCAUGGCGCUGGCGUCUUUGUUGGCGACGGCAUCAAACAACACAGUGAGACUAAACUUGCCCUUGCAGAGCACCAGGGCAAGAACAUGGCCUCAACAGCGAAGAAGCUAGCUCAACAUGCUUGAGCCAGUUGCCCCUGUGUAGUAAAAAGUCACACGGUAACCUUCUUCUAGCCCUAAGCAUUUCACAUGUUUCUGGAUACAUCCUGCCUGUCGUAUAUGUGCACAGUUUGCCUUAUUGUUUGCCAAAGUAGCAACACUUAUGUUUAGGUUCUGUUGUACAUUUUUGACAAAAAUAUAUUGUUGUUGAUUUGGACAUUAGCAAAUAACUGAAAGGUGAAGAAUAUAUAGUUGUUACAACACUCAACUUCUUGUAUUUUGUAUAGAAAUGAGCAACCUAUGUUACAUCAAUUAUUGUGUGUUAGUUCUAAAUAUCACAUUCCACUAAUAACUAUCUUUUUUGUAUAGAAAUGACCAUGUAACCUGAUUAUGUCAGUUAACUGAUAUGCAUCGUCUUCUUUUAAUUUUGGUGUUCCAUAAGCAACCUAUUUUGUUGUUAUUUACUAAAUAUGAGCAUAUCUUUUGAUUCUUAAUCAUGAUUUGACACAUGUGUAAUAUAGGAAAAAAUAUGAGCUUAGAAGACAUGAUUAUAUUUCAAUGAUGUUUGCAUUUUUAGAUUAGUGAAAUUUAUAGAAACAUUGAAGUGUCAAGUUAUUUAUGUGUGUGCUUUUCUCGUCCUCUCGCAGUAGAGUAUAGUGUUUGGUUAUUAGCUUAUCAUUUAUCACCUAGCUGAGAGGGAAGCUUUAUAUGAAAUUCAAUUUUGUAGCAUCUAGCGGACUUGCUCAGGUUCGUUGACUGCUUAUCCUUACUUUCAGGUGCAACAUGAGCCACAACCUAAACCUGAACCUGACGUAGAAGAGGAACGUGUCAAUCUAUUCAAGCAGAUAGAGUUCUACUUUACGUCGACAUAUUGACCUACUUCUCUCUACUAAAUCCUUUAAUUGGUUAAGGUUGUUUUUUCGUUUUUAUCCACAGCUAGGAGAACCUAUGCUCAGAUGUGUACUUGAGGCAACAGAUGGAUGAACAGGGCUAGGUUGAUAACAUAGGUCCUUAAGAAUGUCAUCAUCACCUAAAGUCGACUGAACAUUGUGUAAAAUAUGUACACAUGCUCAUUUGUUCAGGUGUCGUUGCUGUUCCGCAAGAUCGUCGUGUCCUUGUUAGGAAUGGAGAUGCUCUGAGUGAAGUAGGAGGACAUGGUGAACAUGAACCUGAAGCCGACUUCUAGGAAAUCCAACUCGCAACAGUAGGCGAGGAGCGGAUGCACCUACUAGAAGAGUGCUAGCUCUGCUCAUACGCUUGCUUGACAAACAUAUGUUGUUAAUUGUUUUAUAUAGUGUUACUAAUUACUAUCAUUUAUUCUCUUAUGCUUCUUAUAUAGUUGAGGUUUACAUUAUUUUUUCAUUUCUAUCUAGAUUUUGUAUGUUAUGUAGAAAGAUCAUAUGUUUUUUGUAGUUUUUAAAAAAUCUAUCUUUCUGUUUCCGUGAUUGUGUGCCGUUGCAACGCACGGGCACAUACCUAUACUAUUAUAUAAUAUAUAAAUAUUCACUAAUUUUGCAUACCCUGUACGUCCGCCACUACGCUCACUCUAUGUUGGUAAGUGUACACACUAAUUCAACGUACGCAUUUAACUGAUCUGAUUACAUAUGUAUCUUCACUAUCGUGCGUCCAGUGUGUGACACCUCUGGUUGUCAUCGCCGUGCCGUUCUUGGGGCUGCUAGGGUUCUUUGGUGGCUUCACAUUGACGCUGACAACCUACUACGUGAUAGAUCUGUCAUUUAAUCUCUAUCUGGUUUUCUUUAUUUCAAUCCAUUCUAAUUACGCACUUCAUUAUCUGUUGACUCAUCUCAUAGAUUGAGAGUUAAAAAAUUAGAAACUCCGCAGAAAUAAAAGUUUUUUCGAACCAAACACACCUUGUCGCCAUCAAAACACACCGCCAACGCCAGUACUCC